UUUUCUGGUGCCCAAUGUGGGGCAUGAAGGCGUCGUUUCUUCGCGUAGCUAACUCUGGGCUCCCCAGGAGCGAGCUCCCUUGCGGCUCGACGACCUUCGACGCGGCUUCCAGGAGAAACUGGCGCGGACCAGUGAUGACGUCAAAGAGCGCUCCUGGAUAUUUUUUUCCAGUGACCUCGCACUGAUCUGCGGCCAGCAGACCCUGCUGUAAGACAGACCCGAACGUCUAUUUCGGAGGCUCUCUUCUAGUACUGGGGACUAAUCAAGUCGGGGAAAAACUAGACUUCAGUAGGAACUCACGAGUAUGGCAGUCAUCUCAGGAGGAGUUUUCCAAGCUCUUGAGUUGGGGCAUGAAUCUGUUUAAAUCAUGGAUGCCUACGCUUACUGAAAAUGCUUGCCUCUUCCUCUCGCUGACCGCUGCAUAUACUGACAUUUCAACUACCAGAUUGACAUCGCUGAACAGCAGUAUAACCAUUGGGUCUACACAUCUAUGCCUCAUCACUGGCAAGGAAGAUUCCCUGUCUACACAAAGCCACUGGAUGACUCU